CCUACGGGGGGCAGCAGUGAGGAAUAUUGGUCAAUGGACGAGAGUCUGAACCAGCCAAGUAGCGUGAAGGAUGACUGCCCUAUGGGUUGUAAACUUCUUUUAUAUGGGAAUAAAAUGUUCCACGUGUGGGAUUUUGUAUGUACCAUAUGAAUAAGGAUCGUCUAACUCCGUGCCAGCAGCCGCGGUAAUACGGAGGAUCCGAGCGUUAUCCGGAUUUAUUGGGUUUAAAGGGAGCGUAGGUGGAUUGUUAAGUCAGUUGUGAAAGUUUGCGGCUCAACCGUAAAAUUGCAGUUGAAACUGGCAGUCUUGAGUACAGUAGAGGUGGGCGGAAUGCGUGGUGUAGCGGUGAAAUGCUUAGAUAUCACGAAGAACUCCGAUUGCGAAGGCAGUUCACUGGACUGCAACUGACACUGAGGCUCGAAAGUGUGGGUAUCAAACAGGAUUAGAUACCCCAGUAGUC
rnacentral:rRNA from 1 species